CUUGCUCCUUGGAAUGGAGUCAUAAGCUUGCCUGAAGUCAAUGAAGGCAGUAUACAGUCGUGAUGAUCCUCCUUGUACUUUCUGAGCUGCACCUCGCAAGUGCCGCAGGAUGAACAGGGGUUGCAGGGUACUACGGCCGGGGUAAAACCCAAACUGUGUGUCCAGAAUCUUGUUGUGUUGGCUACACCAGUCUUGAAUCAUGGAGCGCAGCAAGUUGGCAUAAAGUCUGUACAGCGUGCCACUCACUGCAAUCAUC
rnacentral:lncRNA from 1 species